rnacentral:rRNA from 1 species
AAAAGGUGGCUAUGCUACCGCUUUUGGAUGGGCCCGCGGCGCAUUAGCUAGUUGGUGGGGUAAAGGCUUACCAAGGCAAUGAUGCGUAGCCGAAUUGAGAGGUUGAUCGGCCACAUUGGGACUGAGACACGGCCCAAACUCCUACGGGAGGCAGCAGUAGGGAAUCUUCCACAAUGGGCGAAAGCCUGAUGGAGCAACGCCGCGUGGGUGAAGAAGGUCUUCGGAUCGUAAAACCCUGUUGUUAGAGAAGAAAGUGCGUGAGAGUAACUGUUCACGUUUCGACGGUAUCUAACCAGAAAGCCACGGCUAACUACGUGCCAGCAGCCGCGGUAAUACGUAGGUGGCAAGCGUUAUCCGGAUUUAUUGGGCGUAAAGGGAACGCAGGCGGUCUUUUAAGUCUGAUGUGAAAGCCUUCGGCUUAACCGGAGUAGUGCAUUGGAAACUGGGAGACUUGAGUGCAGAAGAGGAGAGUGGAACUCCAUGUGUAGCGGUGAAAUGCGUAGAUAUAUGGAAGAACACCAGUGGCGAAAGCGGCUCUCUGGUCUGUAACUGACGCUGAGGUUCGAAAGCGUGGGUAGCAAACAGGAUUAGAUACCCUGGUAGUCCACGCCGUAAACGAUGAAUGCUAAGUGUUGGAGGGUUUCCGCCCUUCA